UACAGAGGGUGCGAGCGUUAAUCGGAAUUACUGGGCGUAAAGCGUGCGUAGACGGCUAUCUAAGUCGGGUGUGAAAGCCCCGGGCUCAACCUGGGAAUUGCAUUCGAGACUGAAUAGCUAGGGUACGGUAGAGGAGAGCGGAAUUCCCGGUGUAGCGGUGAAAUGCGUAGAGAUCGGGAGGAAGGCCGGUGGCGGAAGGCGGCUCUCUGGGACGUCCCGUGACACUGAGGCGCGAAAGCGUGGGGAGCAACAGG
rnacentral:rRNA from 1 species